UCGGCCUCCCAAAGUGCUGGGAUUACAGGUGUGAGCCACCGCACUCAGCCUGUAAUCUGAUUUAGAACACAGUGGCCACUUUCCUCUAAUAGCCUUCCUUUCCUCUGGUCUCUUUGUCCCUCCCUCCGUCUGUCCUAAGUGCAGCUGCUCUGUUAAUUUUCCUCACACAUGUCUGACCCCACACAUCUGUUAUCUUCAGUACCUUGUAGGUAAUUCAUUGCUCAACAGAGUUAAUGGACGAUCCAGGCUGGGACUGCCCAGAUGAAAGCUGAGUCACUCCUGACAGCUCCCAGGCCCUGCCCUGUCCUCUGUUAGUACUGCUGCAUUCUCACCUGCCUGUACGGUUUCUCCUCCCAGUGAACCUGAGCUUUUUGGGGGCAACUAUGAAGAGGCCGUUGAUCUCUGCUUCCUCAGCACCAGCACUUCUAGGAGGCAUUGGGAAGGGGCUGACUCAUGAAGGGGAAGCUGAGUCAAUACGGGGAAGCCAGUGGACUCGGUGGUGCCAUGCCCUUGGUGUGAGUCUUUCUUCUCUGCAGUUACUGACUGAAGCAUCAGCAUUUGCUUGGUAUCCCAUCUUGUGUGUCUUGGGUCAGUGAUGAUUCUUCAACCGAUCUCUUUAGGAACUAGCAGAGUAUCUCAUAAGGAAACUGGUGAUGGCACCGUACAAAUUAGCACACAAUAAAUGAAUAUCACCAUAAAGAAAAACACUGUAUUUCAAAAGCAUAUCAGAAACACAGCAAUCAAAGAGUUUUGAAAAUGAACAGCCAGUGGUUGCCAAGGUGUGGAGGUUGCCAAGGUGUGGAGGUCGCCAAGGCAUGGAGGUCACCACAGUGUGGAAGUUGUCAUUUGCCCCUGGGGGCAGGAGUGUGAAUGGAUACAACCUUUCAGAGGGCAGUCUGACAACGCAUAUCAUAAAUCUGUAAAUGCUCAUACUCUUUGGCAAAGAGAUUCUACUUCUAGGAAUAUAUCCUAGUGAACUAUUGAGAGUCUGUGCAAAAAAAAAUGAGCAGCAAGGAGUUUUUCACAGUGUUAUUUAUAACAGGGAAAUAUUUAAUGUCCAAUAAUAGAUUGACUAUUUAAAUGAUCACAUAUUUCUCAAAUGGAAUACUACAGCAUUAAACAUUAUUUUAGAAGAACAUUUAAUAAUCUGGAAAGACAUCCAUAGUAUUUUAAAUAAAAAAGCAGAUUGCAAAACUGGAA